rnacentral:rRNA from 1 species
AAUUGUUCGCAAUGGGCGCAAGCCUGACGACGCAACGCCGCGUGGAGGAUGAAGAUUUUCGGAUCGUAAACUCCUGUCGAAUGGGACGAACAGAUUGCGGGUUAACAGCCCGUGAUCAUGACGGUACCGUUAAAGGAAACCCCGGCUAACUCUGUGCCAGCAGCCGCGGUAAUACAGAGGGUGCGAGCGUUGUCCGGAAUCACUGGGCGUAAAGGGCGCGUAGGCGGCUUCUCAAGCGUGCGGUGAAAGCUCGGGGCUUAACUCCGAGUCUGCCGUGCGAACUGGGAGGCUUGAGUCUGGUAGAGGUCGAUGGAAUUCCGGGUGUAGCGGUGGAAUGCGUAGAGAUCCGGAAGAACACCGGUGGCGAAGGCGGUCGACUGGGCCAGUACUGACGCUGAGGCGCGACAGCGUGGGGAGCAAAC